GGCGACAGCCCGGCUUCAUCUUCCUUUAAUGGUGGUUGAGAAGGUGCUUUACCGCCACCUACUGAACUGGAGUGUCAACAGGAGUUUGCGCCUGGCGUUGAACUCCUGCAGUUUCCUCUGAGUCGUGUCCAUGUGGGAGAAGCGGGCGGCUUUGCCCAGAACCCAGGGGUGCUGCAGGGCCUCCCGGACGCUGAGGCGCUUGUGAGGGUCCAGAACAAUCAGCUUACUGACCUGCAGGAGAAACAACAACAGAUUCUCAAAGGAGAAGCUCAAACUUUUCCAUCCAUCUAGUAGAGAACAGGAUGUACAGGAUGACGCCCACUGACCACAUGUCCACCUCGGGGCCGUAGGCAUUUCCCCGCAGAAUCUCUGGAGCUGCAGGCAGACGAGGCGGUUAGCGGUUAACAGUUAGCAACUAGCGGUUAGCGUCCAGAUGGCCGACAGACGCUCAGGCCAGGAGGUCUGAGAAAUCCCACAGAGCAGGGGCUGCAGCAAACGCAUCGCCGCCCACCUCCACAUGUCAGCCACACAGACUGAUGGAAACAUUAAUUCAACUCAGAAAGUGUUUUAUUUCUGAUUAAGGAUCAAUAAAAGUGGGAUUUUAAUGCAGAAUA